AACGAACGCUGGCGGCAGGCCUAACACGUGCAAGUCGAGCGCCCUUUCGGGGGAGCGGCGGACGGGUGAGUAACGCGUGGGAAUAUGCCCUUCUCUACGGAAUAGCCUCGGGAAACUGAGAGUAAUACCGUAUACGCCCUAUGGGGGAAAGAUUUAUCGGGGAAGGAUUAGCCCGCGUUGGAUUAGGUAGUUGGUGGGGUAAUGGCCUACCAAGCCGACGAUCCAUAGCUGGUUUGAGAGGAUGAUCAGCCACACUGGGACUGAGACACGGCCCAGACUCCUACGGGAGGCAGCAGUGGGGAAUCUUAGACAAUGGGGGCAACCCUGAUCUAGCCAUGCCGCGUGAGUGAUGAAGGCCUUAGGGUUGUAAAGCUCUUUCAGCUGGGAAGAUAAUGACGGUACCAGCAGAAGAAGCCCCGGCUAACUCCGUG
rnacentral:rRNA from 1 species